UACGUAGGGUGCGAGCGUUGUCCGGAAUUAUUGGGCGUAAAGAGCUCGUAGGCGGCUUGUCGCGUCGGAUGUGAAAGCCCGGGGCUUAACUCCGGGUCUGCAUUCGAUACGGGCAGGCUAGAGGCAUUCAGGGGGAGAACGGAAUUCCUGGUGUAGGCGGUGAAAAUGCGCAGAUAUCAGGAGGAACACCGGUGGCGAAGGCGGCAUCCUGGACCGACAUUGACGCUGAACGGCGAAAGCUAGGGGACAAACGGGGA
rnacentral:rRNA from 1 species